rnacentral:sRNA from 1 species
GAUAUAGAUGCAAUCUCUGUUAACCUGUUAAUUAUCAGGGUUGAUUCAGCUGGUCCAGCUGGUUGAAUAGAUAUCCCCUUCUU